UAGUUUUCUUUUUUUUCUUGAUCUUUUUAAUUUUAAUUUAUUAUUUUACUCACUUCCCACAUCAUCUAAAUUAAUUGCUGACUAACUGGCGGGGUCAUUGAUGGACAAAACAGUAACGAGAAUGUGAGGCUGGAGGCAGUUGAGGAGGAGAUAGUGGAAUUUCGUUUUUUUUUUGAAAAUAGGGAAAUUUUGUAAGAUGGUUGUGUAGUUCAGUUGUAUUUCAAUAAGGUGUGUAAAGGGACAAUAGUUCUGAUUAUGAUUUAACGGUAUCGUUUUCAAUCAAG
rnacentral:lncRNA from 1 species